GAGGAAUAUUGGUCAAUGGGGGCAACCCUGAACCAGCCAAGUCGCGUGAAGGAUGAAGGUCUUAUGGAUUGUAAACUUCUUUUACACGGGAAUAAAGUGGGGGACGUGUCCCCCUUUGCAUGUACCGUGUGAAUAAGGAUUGGCUAACUCCGUGCCAGCAGCCGCGGUAAUACGGAGGAUCCGAGCGUUAUCCGGAUUUAUUGGGUUUAAAGGGUGCGCAGGCGGGAUGUUAAGUCGGCGGUGAAAUUUUGCAGCUCAACUGUAAAAGUGCCUUCGAUACUGGCAUCCUUGAGUGUGGAUGAAGUAGGCGGAAUUUGUGGUGUAGCGGUGAAAUGCUUAGAUAUCACGAGGAACUCCGAUUGCGCAGGCAGCUUACUAAGCCACAACUGACGCUCAUGCACGAAGGCGUGGGGAUCAAAC
rnacentral:rRNA from 1 species